UACGAAGGGGGCUAGCGUUGCUCGGAAUCACUGGGCGUAAAGGGUGCGUAGGUGGAAUCUUAAGUGUGAUGUUAAAUCGUGUGGCUCAACCAUAUCGAUGCAUCGCAUACUGGGAAUCUAGAGGACGGCAGAGGCAAGUGGAAUUGGUAGUGGUAGCAGUGAAAUGCUAGAUAUACCAGGAACACCAAUGGCGAAGGCAGCUUGCUGGGCCACUCCGUGACACUGAGGUACGAAAGCGUGGGGAGCGAAUCCGG
rnacentral:rRNA from 1 species